rnacentral:rRNA from 1 species
CCUACGGGAGGCAGCAGUGGGGAAUCUUGGUCAAUGGGCGCAAGCCUGAACCAGCGACGCCGCGUGAGUGAUGAAGGCCUUCGGGUUGUAAAGCUCUGUGGGGAGGGACGAAAGAGCACGUUCUAACAGGACGUGUGUUGACGGUACCUCCUUAGCAAGCACCGGCUAACUCUGUGCCAGCAGCCGCGGUAAU